GUUUCCAAGGUGGGAAUGGCGUCUUUGCUUCGUGCGUGAGCAGUAUGUGAGUAUUUGUGCAUCUUAUUUUGUAAUUUUAUGAGUUGAUGAUAAUGUGUACUCUCCCAAAUCAAUGGGCUAAUUCAGCCAUGAUUGCUAAAACCCAGCAACAUACUUAUCAAAUGCAAUUGGCUGAUGCAGUCCAAAUGCAGGCUCAUGCUUGAGCAGCACCACAAUUACAAGCUAGCCAGAGUCAUGUAGUUCAAGCAGGUCAUGCACAAGUCGAUGCUCAAGUUCAGACCACGCAAGAAGGUAACUCAUUAAUAACUAAUUAAAAACAAGAGCAAAAUACGGGAAAAGUUGCAAGACAAAGCACAGAAAUGGCAGCGAUUUCAGCCAAAAGAAAAUUUGGCUUCGUUCACUCACAGAAAGAAGACAUGCCUCCUUAACAUGUCCUUAAUUUCAACAUAACUACUUGACAGAUAGGCUCUAAAUCUCGCCCGAAGAGGCUGUUACCAUCUACACAACAACCGUUCAUUCACGUCGUUUUGGUGUUGAGUUUUUGCAAAACCAUUCAUCAACCAAAUUUUCGGGACAAUCAUCGAUGCACAUUUUAUGGAACCAUCCGUUACAGCCUUUACUGACAAAUCCAACAAACUCAAACCCUUUUCUCUCCCACCCUGUUCUGCGACAACUACAGUACAAAAUUUUUCUUCCACCGUUUCUGAGACCUCUUACAUCGACUUUGGGUUGAUGGAAACGCGGUUAACUUUCCUAAUGCCAAACAGUUAACAAGAUGUUUGAAAGAGACUGGACAUACAGCUCAGGAUAUGUUCGUUCCUACAUGGUUUGUCGGGACAACUAUCAUACACCAGUACGUGUUAAGACUGGCUAAACCCUUUGGAAACUAAAACCCAGUGUACCGAACCAUCAUGAAGAAUCUGCAUCCACUGUUCACUCUGCGCCCGGGGAGAUUCCAGACUACCUCGAAUGGUGCAAAAGAACAAGCCACCGAUAGCUGGAUACUGAUUUUCAUGAUAGACUGUGCCAGUUUUAUGUCGCCGGACCUCAGUGUGUUGGCCUUGGUGCAUCAUUGGCGGUUACAGCUGAAGCGACGGGAACUUUUAUUUGGUCGUCAUGUGGAUCAUCGAUGAGUGAAGUUACGAUGGGAAUGUCCAUUUCGUUGUCAAAUGGAACAUCGGCGUUUUUAGCCUUUAUGGGAACGUCCAUUUUGCUGACAGGCGAUACACCGGCGGAUGUGAUAAUGGGAACGUACUUUUUGCAAAUGGAUUGUUUUUUUUGUGUGAUAGCUGCGGCUUCCUCACUCAGGAUAGCGGCUUCCUCGUCCAAUCUAUCUUCAAGAUCGUUUCUUUCAGCCUGUCGUCUUUUUGCCUCCUUGUGGUACGAAUUGAAAUAGCCGUUGUUCUCUUUUGGCCUGCCCCUUAUCAUUGGAGCAAACAGUAGACGAAGGGCAGCCCAUGAAGAAACAUAGAACGAUAAGCAAAUUCGCAUGGGGAAGUAGGACGACAUAAGGCUCACCAUUACUUUCUUCCUUUUGGUCCUACUGUUGACUGGCUUGCAUCAAUUGAAUGGGCUUGUUGAGCUUGAUCAGGUCAUUAAUAUCGUGAAAGGGCCGCAUCUUCUCCUGAAAAUCGGUGAUGCUCAGCGCACAAAGUGUUUCUGCCAAUUUUCGGAAAAAAUUGCUGGCCAAGUUGUAUUGAUCCCUCUCCGUUCAAGGCAUACUUGGUUUUUUCAUCUUAUGGAAUCCGAUAGGUAUACCUCCAAACACUCCUUCCAGUGCUCUGCGAAAGAUCCCACAGGAAUUUCUACGUUGUCCUUGAAGUGGAAGUAGAGGAUGUGGCGACACCGUAGUAAAAAAGUCAAAUGAAAAUUACAGGGAAAUGGCGAAAUGGAAUUGGUGAACUUUUUAAUGAGUUCGGGUUUAGACUUCGUGGAAAAUCGGACCUCCCGUAUCCUUUCAUUCAACUUCCGGUCGCUUAAACGCAGUAAAGCAAUUUUAACAAGCGUCCGGAGAACUUCAGACAAUCUCUUUGUCUUCUGCAGCACGUCUUUUAUGACAAUUCGUGGUAUUAUUCCUGAACGUCGGUAAAUCCCAUCGUCCUAGCCCACAUAACAAUUUAAUGCAGGAAUUUUUCCUAAAUCUGUCUUACUAGGACGUGCAGUGCUGGACCGCCAAAGGACGCUAUAAGGACGCGCUUAAGCCCCGGUCCUUUUAAAAAAUAAAUCACGUUCCUCUGAAGACGUCUUAUUUUGAUCCAUUUCUUUAAAAGCCACGUUUCCACAAUUAACAGUGUAGCGUUGGGGUUAAA